UGUAACAGUGUGUUCAACACCAGAUGACUUGUCCUAGGAAAUUAUAAACAAACCACUUCCUACACUUCCACCAGAUAGUAGCUGCCUGGGCUUUGGAAACAGGCAUCAUGACUGGCACGAUUAAAGCUAAAGGGAAGAGAACCAGCAGGAACCGUUCACGGAAAUGAUGAGAAACUAGGCCAAAGACCAGGGAGCAGGUGGACGGACACAUGACAGCAGCCCAGAGCCCUGUGGAGAAGCCAGAAGCCGGGAGAGAAUCUGAUAAUUGUGGGUGGUGGUUACUAAGCAAAAACAAACAAAAAAACAAACAGCGAAGCGCAUUUACGGAGGAAGGGGGGAAAUGGAUGAAAAGGUCCAAGCCAAGGAGUAUGGAAGCUGAAGAAGCUUUGCUCACUAGUUAAAAGAAUGCCAAGCGCUCAAUGGAUGCUUCGCAGGGAGCGGGGACAAAAAGGCAAUGCGAAACCACGGAAGACGACAGCGGAGAGCUGUGGGAUCCGUCCCCAGGAGAAGGAUGAGUGAGAGGCUGCAUACAGUAGGCCUGCUCGCUCGCAUCCAUCGUGCACGUCAGCCUUCACAAAAGGAGAGCAUGGAGGGUGUCCUUCUUGGGGCAGUGCCCACAGCUCUGUGGCCGGGGCAAGAAUAAUUAGCACAGAUACCAGCGGCAGACAGCCUUCCAAAGUACAUUGCUGAAGGAAAGAGGAGCCGCCAGGUCAUGUGUCUGCCCAUCUGGCAUCACCCCACUCUCAACAGUGUCUGCAAAAACACCCUGGACUUCUUAGAGGUACAUCAUCUGAUCUCCCUAACAGGCUGUCAUGUGCUGAAAGAUUAAGGAACAGAAUUCUUACAUUGCCUAAGGCAGCAGCAUGGUUUGCGUUUUAAAAAUUGGUUCCGUGGCAAAGAAAUCUCCUUUGGAAACAUUACAAGAAGAGCUAUAAAACUUACUACGCAUCUGCACUACCCAUCUGAACAUCUUAUGAAGCACAGUCCUCGGUCAAGCCCAGAUCACCAGAAAUCUGAGCCUGCAACGGGAGUAAGCCCUCCAGAUAAGGAAGACAUCACAUCUUGAGCAAAAGUCACGUUGUGAGCUUGAUUCCAGCCCUCCCCCUAGUCACCUGCCACAGGCCACGUGAUGCAAUGCUGCUGUGUCCCCUGAUUCCAUCUGUCUGGCAUUCUAUUAACAGGGACCCCCAACGACUAGAAUUCCACAUUAAUACAACAUUGAUAAUGACCCAGGGUCACAAAGUUGCUCAAAUGAAAUUUUAAUUAUUUUGGUAGUACUUUAGCAGUCUGGUGUGUUAGAUUAUUUAGCGAUUUCACAACUUGGGUUAUUAUACAACAAAUAAAAUUUAAUAUUUUAACAAUUGUGGUUAUUAGAAAGCAAAUUCUCCACAAAGGUAAUUAAAGUGUCUCUAGUAAUAUGUGAUUUUCCCCAAUACACCAAUUCCCUGACUUUCCUGACCAAGAUACAGAUGUUUAUAAGGAUGUCCCACCUAGGGCAUAUCUGAAGAAAAUAAUAAAAUUAUACACUUUACACAGAUGACAACAAGCAACCUUAGAAUGGAGACUACACACCUGCCUGCACUCUGCACAGCCAGAACGUGAAGUUCCCUUUCCCAAUUGCCAGUGAGGACCUCAAAGAAUGUUCUCCUGGAGGGCUGCCAGGGUUUUGUAUUGGUAUCUGAGGGAGCAUUCUGGGAGGUGCCCAUGAGCUAAAGCAGCAGAGAAUUCCAACUUGCAAACAUUUCAGGCGUUUUAAUUUUUAUUACAAUUUAAACUAUGUAAGCACAGCCCUCAGGAAAAGGAAAACUUGAUGAUCAAACCUUUUUUCCACUUUAAUGACUCCAUUAAUUUAUUCUUCCAACUACAAUCAGAUGGCAUCUUGCAUGCACACAUAUAUAUGAUAUUCAAGGCACACGGGACCAAGACUCUCUGUCCCCCACACUGUGCAUUUCAAACCUUAUAAUGUCUCAUUUUAGCUACUUUAGGGAGCUGGCAUGAGGCUUUUCAGCAGCCCGAGUCUGCCGCAAGACCUGUCUUGGUGGGAAGGAGAAAACCUUAUACUUAGCAUGCUGAGAAGCCGAUUUUAAAAAAAAGAGGAAAUUGUUAUAAUUACAGUGAGAGCUUUUGCAUGCAAAUUCAGUUUUCCUUGGGGGAAAUUUGCAUACUCUACAAGGAAUCCCCAUGCCAAAAGUAAACGCAAAGCUUUUUAGCUCCAGUCUUUAAAAGCGAAGCACAUGGCCAGGAAUUGCAUAGUCUGUGAAUGUGUUCCAGGCCCGGCCCAGAUAUGCUGUUUAUAAAAGAAAGGACUUUACAAUGCAGUUUAUAAUAUUUAAAAGGUACAACAUUUAUGCUGCAAGAGGUGACAGUUAUCAAUCAGGCUGAGACAACCAAUAAAGAGUAGGACAGUGUUUCAACAGGGCUCCAAAACUUACCUAAACCCUUUUUCAUAAAGAUAAAUACAUUUUAAAAGAUUCAUUUCUCCUCUGAUUCUUUUUUUUUUAACAUCUUUAUUGGAGUAUAGUUGCUUUACAACGGUGUG